rnacentral:rRNA from 1 species
GUGCAGCAGGCGAGAAUCAUCCGCAAUGCGCGCAAGCGUGACGGUGCGACGCCGCGUGCGGGAGGAAGCCCUUCGGGGUGUAAACCGCUUUUCAGAGGUAUGAAGUGCGCCCGCCGAACAAGCGGGUGGCAUUGACGUCAACUCUGGAAUAAGCCACGGCUAACUUCGUGCCAGCAGCCGCGGUAAGACGAAGGGGGCGAGCGUUGCUCGGAAUUACUGGGCUUAAAGCGGGCGUAGGCGGUUCGGCAAGUCGGGUGUGAAAGCCCUCGGCUCAACCGAGGAAUGGCGUCCGAUACUGCCGGGCUUGAGGUGCCCAGGGACGAGUGGAACUCUCGGUGGAGCGGUGAAAUGCGUAGAUAUCGAGAGGAACGCCGAUGGCGAAGGCAGCUCGCUGGGGGUACCCUGACGCUGAGGCCCGAAAGCUAGGGGAGCGAACGGGAUUAGAUACCCCGGUAGUCC